CCCCUCAAGUGAAGCUAAAGAACAAAGACUCAAAGAACUCGAAGACCGAGUUUUAAGAAAACAAAAAGAACUUGAAGAAUGUCAUGCAAGGGCAAGAGAGAAGUCUCUCAAGCAAAGAAUAGAAGAAGCCGAAGCUACUCUUCGCGAACUGAUUGAGCAAUUGCAAAGUGCAAGUCACAAAGUCAUAAACAUAGAAGACCCAAAUUCAGCAACCAGAUUUUCACAAGAAAAGAACUCACAGAAAUCAUAC
rnacentral:lncRNA from 1 species